ACAAAUCCUUUUCUAUUGUGUUUGUGCAUUGAUUGAUUGAUUCAUGUGUGUACAUUUAUUUGUGUGUAUGCAUGCUUUCAUCCAUUCAAUGAUCACACCACAUUUGUUCCAUGUGCAAUUUGUAUUUAUAUGCAUCUUGUACAUUUGACAUUUCUGCUUUAUUUGUCUGAUUAUAUAUUAUGGUUGGAGAAUGACAAAGAA
rnacentral:misc_RNA from 1 species